AAGAAGUCAGGCCGGUUUAAGCCAUAGUACGGUAAGAGCUAUGCUGCCUGUGAGCCCCGUCCAAGGACGUAAAAUGAAGUCAGGCCGAAAGCCACGGCUUGAGCAAACCGUGCUGCCUGUGGCUCCAUCGUGGGGAUGUAAAAACCCGGGAGGCUGCAACCCAUGGAAGCUGUACGCAUGGGGUAGCAGACUAGUGGUUAGAGGAGACCCCUCCCAAGAUACAACGCAGCAGCGGGGCCCAACACCAGGGGAAGCUGUACCCUGGUGGUAAGGACUAGAGGUUAGAGGAGACCCCCCGCACAACAAUAAACAGCAUAUU
rnacentral:lncRNA from 1 species